UAUUAUUUCUAAGUGGGUAACAUUCACUAACAUAAAAUUAACCAUUUUUAAAUGAACAAUUUGGUGGCAUUUGGUGCCCUUCACAAUAUUGUGCAACCAGCUCUCUCUAGUUCCAGAACAUUUUCAUCCCCAAAAGAAACCAUAUCUGUUCCCACCUCCACCAGCCCCUAAACCACGAAUCUGCUUCCUGUAUCUAUGGAUUUGGUUGUUCUGGACAUUUCAAAUAAAUGAAAUCAUACAACAUGUGGCCUUUUGUGUCUGGUUUCUCUCAGCAUCAUUUUCGAGGUUCAUCCACAUUGUAGUGUGUCACUCCUUGUUGUGGCUGAAUAACAUUCCACUGUGUGGAUGGACCACAUUGUGUUUAUCCUUUAGCAGCUAGCUCAUGGAACUGUUUCCAAGUGCUUAUUGAACGUUUACUCUCUGCUAGGCACAGUUGUAAGCGCUUAAUCUGCACCUUCUCGAUGAGGUCACACUGUGACCACCAUGCCCAGUUGCCCAUUUCCCAGUGAGGGAAGUGAAGGCAGAAAUUGGCAGACAGGCCUCCAGAGGAACCACAGACCAUACUCUGGAGGUGGGGAUAGAAACAGAUAAUAAGGAAGCCAAGAAUCAAGCAAGAUAAAUGCCAGGUGAAGACCCUCAGGGUCUUCCAGGCAGACCAAUAUGUGCAAAGGCCCUGAGGUGGGAGUGGGCUGAUGUGCUGGAGGAAAAGCAUAGGCUAGUGUGGCUGGAGAACAAAUGACUGGGAGAGAGGAAGGUGGAAUGGACAGCCGCUACAGGUUCUGGGAUGUGUGGGGAAGGGUUUGGACUGUACUCUGAGAUGGAGAGGCAGAGAGAGAUGCAGGAAGAGAGGGUGAGAGACUGGGAACAGGAGGGAGAGGCUGUCUCAGAUCUCACACCUUUCAGCAGGUGCUGGAUGGGUUGAUGCAGGAACUGAUCCAGCUACCCCAGGGUCUUAACCAUCCUUCUCCCAGUCUCAGAAGCCACUUCCAGAGUGGACCCUGCAAAGUAGGGGCCUGGCAGGGUGCUGUGAACACGGGGACAGGCCAGUUGGGUACCAGAUGCUGCUACCUGCCUCUGCCUGAGUCAGCAUUGCCAUGGCAACGUGGAUUCUACCAGAUCCUCCUUCGGGCACAUCCCCCAUCAUUGCAGGCACUUUCACGUCAUUGCCGGGGGCAGGGGCACAGUUAUUUUUACCCAGGCUGCUGACAGCACUCAAGGACCAAGAUGCCCAUUCCCCCAUGCCUCUCAGCCCUUUUGCCUCCUAAGCAACCAGCUCCCUGCAGACUUUCCAGGCUCUGCCUGGAAGCGGGCAGGGACUGUCUAAAGCAGUGGGGUACUGCAGCUGUUCCCACCCUAAGAAUGUGGGCCUUGGUUUACCCAGCUUGUGAAUGGCAGUAGCCAGUGGGCAGAGUGAAGGGGGAACCAGGCAAUGAAAGGCCAGUGUCUGGGUCCUCCCCGCCUGACCCAGAACUGCAAGGACAGAGUGGGACCUUGGAAUGACCUACAGCUCCCCGGGCAGGUUGGCCCUCAGUUCAAGCCCACAGUGGGAACAGGAAGUCAGUGGGCAGUGGGCAAGCCAGGCCAGGGUGCCUGCCAUGGAGCCUCCAGGACAAGUUGGGGUGGCCUAUGAGCCCCCCUCCCCCCAUACACACACCAUCGUCACAUACUGAUCAUCCGUGCAUGUCACCACCAGCUCCAAUUGCGCUGCCCUGGGAGACAGUCACUCCAUCUUCACUGAAGACUGGUUCGUUCCAGUCCCAGCCAAGAACGAUGGAUCCCAGUGAAAAACAUGAUAAACAUGUUCUUCCUGUC